GCCUGGGCUGAGGCUUGUGCACAGGCUGCUCAUAAGGAAAGAGAGCUCUGCCCCUGCAGCUGGCUGAAACCUGGAGAGCAUUCCUUCAGCCUCAAACAUUCUGAGCAGUGUUUGAAUCCAAAACUACUCAGGAGUGACAGAGGACUGCCACAAAUCACAGGUAUCUCCUAAUUCUCUUGGGUGCCUGCAAGUCUCUUAGCACCCUCUCAGUGUCAGACUUUUCCUUGGUGUAGGUCAGGAACAAAACUGUUUCCUGAAAGGAAGAUGUGCUAUGGCAAUCCUGAGAUUUAAGUGUCUGUCAAAAUAGAACUCCCCAGAGGACUAUCUUCUUGCAGAUGGAGCUAUGAAAGUCAUCUUUUCAAAGAAAAAAAAAUGCUGAAAUACAUAGAACUGCUCAAGAUGUGCUUGAGGCAAUUUGUUGACAACGUUGGGUUAGGCAGCUCAGUCUGCAAGUGCAAGUUCUGCAACUAGUAAGGAAAAUAAAAUUUAUUGCUAUAUUUCCCCCUUCAAAACUGGAAAAAAAAAAUUAAUCAAAAAAAGAAAAAUAUGAGAGGCAAAAUUGAUUCCAAUAUAAUGCUUAUAACACUUAACCCUACUUAUGAGAGAGUGAUUUGCCAUGGGAAUGGGCUGCCCAGGGAGGUGGUGCAGUCACUGUCCCUAGAAGUGUUCAAAAAAAGACUGGAUUAUAGAAUCAGCCAGGUUGGAAGAAACCUCCAAGCUCAUCCAGUCCAACCUAGCACCCAGCCCUAGCCAGU